GAGGGCAUAGCUCAGUGAUAGAGUGCAUGCCUAGCAUGCACGAGGUCCUGGGUUCAAUCCCAAGUACCUCCA
rfam:Camelus ferus unplaced genomic scaffold scaffold1815, whole genome shotgun sequence.